rnacentral:rRNA from 1 species
AGUGAACGCUGGCGGUAGGCCUAACACAUGCAAGUCGAACGGCAGCACAGUAAGAGCUUGCUCUUACAGGUGGCGAGUGGCGGACGGGUGAGGAAUACAUCGGAAUCUACUUUUUCGUGGGGGAUAACGUAGGGAAACUUACGCUAAUACCGCAUACGACCUACGGGUGAAAGCAGGGGAUCUUCGGACCUUGCGCGAUUGAAUGAGCCGAUGUCGGAUUAGCUAGUUGGCGGGGUAAAGGCCCACCAAGGCGACGAUCCGUAGCUGGUCUGAGAGGAUGAUCAGCCACACUGGAACUGAGACACGGUCCAGACUCCUACGGGAGGCAGCAGUGGGGAAUAUUGGACAAUGGGCGCAAGCCUGAUCCAGCCAUACCGCGUGGGUGAAGAAGGCCUUCGGGUUGUAAAGCCCUUUUGUUGGGAAAGAAAAGCAGCAGGUUAAUACCCCACUGUUCUGACGGUACCCAAAGAAUAAGCACCGGCUAACUUCGUG